rnacentral:rRNA from 1 species
GGGGUAACAGGGAUUGCUUGCAAUCCGCUGACGACCGGCGCACGGGUGCGUAACGCGUAUGCAACCUACCUUUUACAAGGGGAUAGCCCAGAGAAAUUUGGAAUAAUACCCUAUACGAUCAUUAAUUGGCAUCAAUUAAUGAAGAAAACUCCGGUGGUAAAAGAUGGGCAUGCGUCCUAUUAGUUAGUUGGUAAGGUAACGGCUUACCAAGACUUCGAUAGGUAGGGGUCCUGAGAGGGAGAUCCCCCACACUGGUACUGAGACACGGACCAGACUCCUACGGGAGGCAGCAGUGAGGAAUAUUGGACAAUGGAGGCAACUCUGAUCCAGCCAUGCCGCGUGCAGGAAGACGGCCCUACGGGUUGUAAACUGCUUUUAUACAGGAAGAACUAUAUCUACGUGUAGAUAUUUGACGGUACUGUACGAAUAAGGAUCGG